AGAACGAACGCUGGCGGCAUGCCUAAUACAUGCAAGUCGAACGAGGGCUUCGGCCUUAGUGGCGCACGGGUGCGUAACGCGUGGGAAUCUGCCCCUUGGUUCGGAAUAACAGUUGGAAACGACUGCUAAUACCGGAUGAUGACGAAAGUCCAAAGAUUUAUCGCCAAGGGAUGAGCCCGCGUAGGAUUAGCUAGUUGGUGAGGUAAAGGCUCACCAAGGCGACGAUCCUUAGCUGGUCUGAGAGGAUGAUCAGCCACACUGGGACUGAGACACGGCCCAGACUCCGUACGGGAGCAGCAGUAGGGAAUA
rnacentral:rRNA from 1 species